GACGAACGCUGGCGGCGUGCUUAACACAUGCAAGUCGAACGGAAAGGCCCUGCUUUUGUGGGGUGCUCGAGUGGCGAACGGGUGAGUAACACGUGAGUAACCUGCCCUUGACUUUGGGAUAACUUCAGGAAACUGGGGCUAAUACCGGAUAGGAGCUCCUGCUGCAUGGUGGGGGUUGGAAAGUUUCGGCGGUUGGGGAUGGACUCGCGGCUUAUCAGCUUGUUGGUGGGGUAGUGGCUUACCAAGGCUUUGACGGGUAGCCGGCCUGAGAGGGUGACCGGCGACAUUGGGACUGAGAGACGGCCCAGACUCCAACGGGAGGCAGCAGUGGGGAAUAUUGCACAAUGGGCGGAAGCCUGAUGCAGCAACGCCGCGUGCGGGAUGACGGCCUUCGAGUUGUAAACCGCUUUCGCCUGUGACGAAGCGUGAGUGACGGUAAUGGGUAAAGAAGCACCGGCUAACUACGUG
rnacentral:rRNA from 1 species